UACGUAGGCAGCGAGCGUUGUUCGGAGUUACUGGGCGUAAAGGGUGUGUAGGCGGUUUUCUAAGUUUGGUGUGAAAUCUCCCGGCUCAACCGGGAGGGUGCGCCGAAAACUGGAGACUAGAGUGCGGGAUGGGAGAGUAGAAUUCCUGGUGUAGCGGUGAAAUGCGUAGAUAUCAGGAGGAAUACCGGUGGUGUAGACGGCUCUCUGGACCGCAACUGACGCUGAGACACGAAAGCGUGGGUAGCAAACAGG
rnacentral:rRNA from 1 species